CGCGUCCCGCAGCGCCGCGUUGAACGAAGCCGGGCUCUGAUGGGCGAAGACGAUCAGAGCCGCUUUCUGAGCUGGAAACACCGGAACCGGACCGGAACCGGACCAAACAGAUCAGCGUGAAAAUGACCAGAAACCAGCAAAUAAAGAUCAGAUGUUAAAGUUUGAGGGCAGAAGGAGAAGAUGGCCGCCACACCGCUCUCUGACCACAUCUCAGCUUCCUGAAGGUCAAACCCAGUUCUUCACCCGCCGGCCUGCAGAGGAAACUUCUCAGUAAUUUGUCGUUUCCUCUGGAGGUUCAUGCUGCAGAUGAUGAUGAUGACGAUGAUGAAGAGGCAGGGGUCAUUCAUCUGGUGACCUUCAGCUCUAAAACUGGAGGGAAACCUGAUGAUCUCAUUCAGGUUCUGCUGAAAUGUGUUUGUUGAGUAAACGCUCCACGAUGUGGGAUCUUUCUGAAGAACAGUUCCUCACAGAACCAACAUUCUGCUGGUUUCUGAACGGCGGGUCGAAACCCGGCUCCAGAGCCCACAAACAUCUGGACAAAACGUCCGAGACAUCAGCAGAUUAGUUACAUUCGGCUUUCCUUACAUCGUUUGUCUUUGUUCUGGUUUGGAUCAAGGCAAAGUGAGUUUUUAGACUGAAUGAUUCUUGGAUUUAGUCAAAGUGGAUGUUUAUCUGUGUUUUGUCAAGAUGUGUAUAAUUAUCAGGCAGAUUCUUUUCUUUGAGAAAAAGAAACUCCUGUUCGUUUAGAAAACUAGAACAAACUCAGAAAACCGACAUCUAGUUUCAUCAGAACAAGAAUCAGAGAAUCGCGACUAGUUUCUAAAAUUUAUGAAACAUGGGGAACCAAGAUGUAGUUUUAUUCUUUGACUUUUCUUUUAUUUUGUUUGUAUUUCCUCUAAUUCAUUAAAGCACUUUGAAUUGC